UUUGCCGAAUCUUUCAUUUCACGCGUCAACGAAAUUCAGCUUUGUGUAAUCCUUGGAUUGAUAGCGCUACAAUAAAUUUGCUUCGCGAUAAAUCGUGUUGGUGCUAGCGUUGCAAAAUAUUUGGGCACAUUUGUAUAUAUACAUUCUCAGGAAUAUAAAUAAUACUGAAUGUAUACAGCGAAGAGACGUCGGAAAUGAACCUGAGAACUAACAGCGCAUGAUAAUUAAUCACAGAAGUGUAGGAGAAUUAAAUUGCAGUGACGUAUCUCGUAACGUGAUUUUCAAUUGUUUCUUCGGACAUUUUGUUCAAGUCACGGAACUAUUCGUAUUAAUAAUUUAUCGAUCUAUCAUUUGAUAACUAAUCGGGAACUUUUUCCGUUAUGGAUUUAUUAUUUUCUGUUAUGGAUUUGGUAAAUCUUGCGAUGAUAUUAAGGAGUUUGCAACAGGUGUGAGAAAUGUUGUAGAAGAUUUGACGUUAGAGGAUGCAACAUCGAAGGAUUAUUCGGUUUGGGUCGAGCAGAGUCAGGUCGAAGUGAAAUGCAGUACACGUGCGGGACGACACACAGACGACACGGAGGAGGCAAAUAAACUACAACAUCGGCCGUGGUUCAUCGUUGAACCUGAUUGGACGUUGGGGACUUUGCGAAACGGGGAAUACCCGACUCACAUGAUAUGUAGCGUAAGAGUAAGAUAUUGUACUGAUUUAU